rnacentral:rRNA from 1 species
GACGAACGCUGGCGGCGUGCUUAACACAUGCAAGUCGAACGGAAAGGCCCUGCUUUUGUGGGGUGCUCGAGUGGCGAACGGGUGAGUAACACGUGAGUAACCUGCCCUUGACUUUGGGAUAACUUCAGGAAACUGGGGCUAAUACCGGAUAGGAGCUCCUGCUGCAUGGUGGGGGUUGGAAAGUUUCGGCGGUUGGGGAUGGACUCGCGGCUUAUCAGCUUGUUGGUGGGGUAGUGGCUUACCAAGGCUUUGACGGGUAGCCGGCCUGAGAGGGUGACCGGCUGCAGUGGGAAUUAGAGACGGCACAGACUCAGGCGGGAGCCAGCAGGGGGGGAGAGGGAUCAAGGGGCUGAGGCCUGAUGCAGCAGCGCCGGGGGCGGGAUGACGGGCUUCGGGUUGGAAAACGCGUUCGCCUGUGACGAAGCGUGAGGUACGGUAAUGGGUAGAGAAGAACCGGAUAACUAGGUG